rnacentral:rRNA from 1 species
GACGAACGCUGGCGGCGUGCUUAACACAUGCAAGUCGAACGGAAAGGCCCUGCCUUUGUGGGGUGCUCGAGUGGCGAACGGGUGAGUAACACGUGAGUAACCUGCCCUUGACUUUGGGAUAACUUCAGGAAACUGGGGCUAAUACCGGAUAGGAGCUCCUGCUGCAUGGUGGGGGUUGGAAAGUUUCGGCGGUUGGGGAUGGACUCGCGGCUUAUCAGCUUGUUGGUGGGGUAGUGGCUUACCAAGGCUUUGACGGGUAGCCGGCCUGAGGGGGUGACCGGCCACAUUGGGACUGAGAUACGGCCCAGACUCCUACGGGAGGCAGCAGUGGGGAAUAUUGCACAAUGGGCGGAAGCCUGAUGCAGCAACGCCGCGUGCGGGAUGACGGCCUUCGGGUUGUAAACCGCUUUCGCCUGUGACGAAGCGUGAGUGACGGUAAUGGGUAAAGAAGCACCGGCUAACUACGUG